rnacentral:tRNA from 1 species
GGACUGUGGCUCAAUGACAGAGCACUUGCCUUGCAAGUAUGAGGCACUGGGUUCAAUCCUCAGCACCA